UACGAAGGGUGCAAACGUUGCUCGGAAUCAUUGGGCGUAAAGCGCACGUAGGCGGCUUGCCAAGUCGGACGUGAAAUCCCUCAGCUCAACUGAGGACGUGCAUCCGAAACUGGCGAGCUUGAGUACUGAAGAGGAUCGCGGAAUUCCCGGUGUAGAGGUGAAAUUCGUAGAUAUCGGGAGGAACACCAGUGGCGAAGGCGGCGAUCUGGGCUGAUACUGACGCUGAGGUGCGAAAGCGUGGGGAGCAAACAGG
rnacentral:rRNA from 1 species